GAGGCGUGGCCGAGUGGUCGAAGGCGGCAGUCUUGAAAACUGUUGAAGGGAGACCUUCCGUGGGUUCGAAUCCUACCGCCUCC
rnacentral:tRNA from 1 species